rnacentral:rRNA from 1 species
CCCCGGCUAACUACGUGCCAGCAGCCGCGGUAAUACGUAGGGGGCGAGCGUUAUCCGGAAUUAUUGGGCGUAAAGGGAGCGUAGGCGGUUAAUUAAGUSGGAUGUGAAAUACUCAGGCUCAACCUGGGUGCUGCAUUCCAAACUUGAUUAAUCUAGAGUCCAGGAGAGGAGAGUGGAAUUCUUAGUUUACCGKUGAAAUGCUUAGUGAUUAGGARGAACACCAUUGGCGAAGGCGAUUUUUUGGAYUUUAAUUGACGUUGAGGCUGGAAGGCGUGGGAGCAAACAGGAAUUAGWUACCUUGUUAGUCCACSCSUUAAASGWUAAUUAUUAGGUUUGGGGGUUUCAACACCUCYGUGCCGCCGUAACGCAUUAAGUAUUCCGCCUGGGGAGUACGGUCGCAAGAUUAAAACUCAAAGGAAUUGACGGGRCCCGCACAAGCAGCGGAGCAUGUGGUUAAUUCGAAGCAACGCGAAGAACCUUACCUAGACUUGACAUCCCUUGCAUUACCCUUAAUCGGGGAAAUCUCUUCGGAGACA